rnacentral:lncRNA from 1 species
AAUGGUCAUAAAAAUAUGUAUUUAAUGUUAGCUCAUUUUCCCUAACUUUCCCAUGAGAAGAGAAAACAAAACCCAAGUUGGAAGGAUGGCUUCACUUUCCCCUCCUACUUUCCCAUGAGCCAGGCAAUGAUUUCCCAUACUUAGACUUACCAGACAUGGGAAAGCAAUUGAUUUCCCAUUCCCAAGUCUCCUUUCCCAUGAACCAAACGGAUGAAUAUGAUGGCGCACCACAACAAUCAAACUGAUCUACCAAAAAACAGAACAACCAAACUCUCUUAAUCAAUCUUUAUUCCCCAUAUAUAAUAACUGGUACAUAACAUCAUCUUUCAUUUCGCCUAACAACUGAACCAGGCAGAAUCACAUCACCGAUUAAUCAAUACAUUAUUUCACGCGAUCUCAGAGGGGUUCCACCCGAAGCACUUGCCAUACAUGCAUGGGCCAAUUGGCAGUAUAUCCCAGUAACACAGCCUACACCUUUCUCGAUCUCUCUUGUCUAUAUAGACAUCAAAAUAGUGAAAUGUAC